AAACCCUCCUCUCAGUUGCACUGAAACGCAUACACACAACGCGCAAUGGCCUUGAGGCUUUUUGUUUUCGUAGCUCUGCUCUUGUUCUGUACUCUCCAGGUUUCAUCUGAUUCUGAGAUUGCCGAUGAGGUCAAAGGACCCAACAGUACGCCUUUGACCUAUGCUGACUGUCAAGGGCUAUGCCAAGUGAGAUGCGCGCGAGCGAGGAAAAACGUAUGCAUGAGGGCUUGUGGAGCAUGUUGCGCACGAUGCAACUGCGUGCCACCCGGUACUUAUGGUAACCGUGAGGCUUGCGGCAAGUGCUACACCGACAUGACCAC